rfam:TPA: Bos taurus chromosome 26, whole genome shotgun sequence.
UCCCUGGUGGCUCAGAUGGUAAAGCAUCUGCCUGCAAUGCGGGAGACCUGGGUUCAAUCCCUGGGUUGGGAA